GACGAACGCUGGCGGCGUGCUUAACACAUGCAAGUCGGACGGAAAGGCCCUGCUUUUGUGGGGUGCUCGAGUGGCGAACGGGUGAGUAACACGUGAGUAACCUGCCCUUGACUUUGGGAUAACUUCAGGAAACUGGGGCUAAUACCGGAUAGGAGCUCCUGCUGCAUGGUGGGGGUUGGAAAGUUUCGGCGGUUGGGGAUGGACUCGCGGCUUAUCAGCUUGUUGGUGGGGUAGUGGCUUACCAAGGCUUUGAUGGGUAGCCGGCCUGAGAGGGUGACCGGCCACAUUGGGACUGAGAUACGGCCCAGACUCCUACGGGAGGCAGCAGUGGGGAAUAUUGCACAAUGGGCGGAAGCCUGAUGCAGCAACGCCGCGUGCGGGAUGACGGCCUUCGGGUUGUAAACCGCUUUCGCCUGUGACGAAGCGUGAGUGACGGUAAUGGGUAAAGAAGCACCGGCUAACUACGUG
rnacentral:rRNA from 1 species